UGAGCUCUGCUGUGUUCACCGCGUUAGAGACACGUUAACGGGCCCGUUCUGUGUUUGUUCGGAGAGUCAGAACUGGGCCCUGGGUAACCGGGAGACACCGGGAGACACCGGCUCUGUUAUUAUGCUAACGCUAACUGAAGCCGGCUCAGUGUUAGCAUGCUAGCUUACUGACCAGCAGGACCAAAGAGACAAAGCUAACGAGGCUAAAUGUUAGCUGGUGCAGAGGUCAUGUUCCCACAUAAUGAACCCGUUCCACAAACGCCUCAAAUUCAGCCCAACUAAACCCUGCCCUGCAGCCGGGCCGCAGCACUCCAGUCCCCACGCCUUCUCCCAUGAUGCUUUGCAACAACCUUCUCCAGCUCCUACAGGGGGCGGAGCCAGGAAUGAGGAUGAGGGGGAGGAGUACCUGCUGGUGGAGGAAGACACCACAGACUCCAGCCUCAUCAUCACCAUGGAGGACAGUCAGGUAGAGGUUAGGUCGGGCAGGAGGAGGUCAGGAAGGAGGAGGAAGAGGAAACUGAUAGAGGAUGAAGAUCCCGAAGUGGGCGGGGCUUCAGAGAGUGAAGAGGAGGCGGAGUCAAGUGUUGAUCUUGAGAUUGGCAGACAGCUGGACCAAUCACUGGAGACUAAAUCCAAACAGCACAACCUGACCACGGUGAACGUCAGAAACAUAAUCCAUGAAGUGAUAACUAACGAACACGUAGUGGCCAUGAUGAAAGCUGCCAUCAACGAGACUGAAUCCAUCCCUCCGUUUGAGCCAAAAAUGACCCGAUCCAAAUUUAAAGAAGUGGUGGAGAGAGGAGUGGUGAUUCCAGCCUGGAACAUUUCACCAAUCAAGAAGAGCAGUGAUGUCAAGAAGGCUCCUCAGUUCGUGGACAUCCCUCUGGCUGACGAGGACUCCUCUGAUGAAGAGUACCGACCUGAUGAGGACGAAGAGGACGAUACCACCGAAGACACGUUCCAGGAGAGCGACUUGGAGAGCACGGCGUCCUCCCCCCGAGGGAGUCGUCUGAGUAGGGGGGAGGAGGACAGCUGCAGCCCCUGGCAGACCUUUCGUAGCCGCUCAAGGCGUCUGAGGGCGGUGUCUGUCUCUAUGGGGCCGCCACCUCCACCUAAAGCCCCACCCCCUAAAGCAGUGACUGACAGCAGCUUCCUGGAGAAGCUCCAUGCAGUGGAAGAGGAGCUGGCUGUGUGCAUGGAGCCCUACCAGCCUUUGUCUGAGUCUGAGGAGGAGGUGGGGCUGAUGGCGUACAGGACUCGCUCUAAACGUCCUCUACGGGACAUCCCACUGGGUCAGCUGGAGGCGGAGCUACAAGCUCCUGACAUCACACCUGACAUGUAUGACUCAAGCUCCACCCAUGAGGAUAGGGAGUGGACCGAUUGGCUGAGAGGACUGAUGAUCUCAGACAUAGACAAUGAAGACGAGUGUGACGAUGAAGAUGAUCCUGAGUAUAACUUCCUGGCUGACAUCGAUGAACCUGACCAGGAGGAUUACCGUGACGAUAAGGCUGUCCGCAUCACCAAGAAGGAGGUGAACGAGCUGAUGGAGGAGCUGUUCGAAACUCUUAAAGAAGACCUCACAGGACAGGAAGUUGACGAGGAAGAGGAGGAGCCACUGGAUGAUACACAGACUGUUCAGACACACGCAAAUGAGGAUCAGCAUAACACCAGAGGGGGCGGGGACGACCAGGAGAGCAGCCUAAUAACAAAGCCACGUACAGUGAAGCAGCAGCUGGAGCAGAUCAGGAAGAGACGUCAGCUCGCUCUUCCCACACACACACCCUGUGACACACACACACCCUGUGACACACACACACCCUGUAACGCACACACACCCUGUAACACACACACGCCCUGUGCAGAGCCGUACACACUGAAGCUGGACACUCGUCAAAGGAGCAGACUGCAGCAGCAGCUACAGCAGCACGUCCAGCUGCUCACUCAGAUACACCUGCUGAGCUCACCUGUGGCUGAACUGCACAGCGAGGCUGAGACCACCAGACAGUUCCUGUUUGAGUUGAACUUGCUUGCUCAGAGGGCGGAGCUUCUUGCGUCUUCCUCUCGUCCUGGUUUCUGCAGCGCCUUCAGAGCCUCCAACCUGCAGGGGGCGCUGCAGCUUCUGGAGGAGCUGAAACAGAUGCCCAUCAGCUACCAACUGCAGCCCCGCCCACCUGACGCCCGCGGAUACAUGCGUAGUUUCCCCGUCAUGCCCGCUGAGCUAGCCUGGCUCUUCGCUAGUCGCCCGGUCUUCCUCUACCCUGAGCUGCUGCCCUGUGCCAGCCUGGACCCUGCUCUCUACUGCCCCCGCAGGACAGCUGCCUUUACUGCAGCCGAGGACUGCCUGUUGGUCCUGGGUCUCAGGAACAUGGAGGGGUCAUGUGAUCCCACCAAGUUGGUGUCUCAGUUCCUGCUGAGGAAGAGUCUGGUCCAGGUCCGACGAAGGAUCCUGCAAUGCUGCAGACCUGGUCACCCUGACAACAUCGUCAAGGCCUUCAGGUAUCAGAGGGUGGUGUGGCCCAUGCUGGUGGCAUGUCGGGGUGUAGUUGGAACAGAGCAGCGCCCCCCUGUGGAGAGAGAGGAGAGUGUGCUGCCUUUAUGGCUGCAGAGGAGUCUUCCUGUCAUCUACCCAACCAUCAAGAUAUAUAACAGCCCCACCGGCUCCACCCCUGAGGCCCCGCCCUCCUGCAGGUCAACUGCUGCCCGUCACAGUCACCUGACCUUCCUUCGCUCUGCCUCCCACACUAACAACUUCCCCCCCUGGACCAAGUAUCCCCCCCGACUCCCAAAAAACCUGGACUUCAGACGUGUGGGCUUCCUGCAGGUGAAUCAGACCCUCCCCCAUCCUCCUUCUGACUCCUCACAACUCCCCCUAAAUCCUCCCAAAGCUCUCCUCCAGCGCCCCCGCCCGUCUCACUCUGACACUCAUGCUGAGAUCAUCAACACCACAGCUGUCUCAAUGACGACCAGAGAGCGAAUCAGUUGCCACAAUCAGACCCUAACCAGUCUGAGGAGAAGGGGGAGGAGCUCUAAAGAUGCUGUUAUCCCGCCUUCUCCAGAAUGCCCUGCCCCCUCCAUGGAGGAGAUACAGGAACGUGAUGAUGUCAUCAGGACAAACGAGGAGGAACUGGAGGAGGAGAGUGAGGUCGUCCUGGCUCUGUCUGAAUCAUCACCCAGCUCAGCAGGAAGUGUCACCCCCGACAACGUACAUGAUGGCCCAGUGGAGGCAGAGUCAGAGUAUGAACAGGAAGUCACAUCAACGCCGUCCAGAGCAGCAGAAGAAGUAGAGACAGAGCAGCUGGUGUGUGACGCGGUGCAGGUGUGUCCAGGUGUCUCUGAACAGCUGCUGCAGGUGUUGGAUCAGUUCUCUUCAGAGGGGCCCCUGGGGGCCUCUGGGGCUCCUGAACUCCUGUUUGACUCUCUGAGCCGACUGCUGCGGCCCUGGCCUCAGCUGCUCCAAGAGCUCGCUGCCUUCCUGAGCCAGGGACAGGCCGACUGCUGUAACCUGCAAACUGAGCUGAACCUGUUUGAACGCAGUCGUUGGUUUCUGCAGAGACUUGGGCGGAGCCUGGGAGAAGACUCCUCCCUCUACCAGCAGGUGGUGUCAGUACUGCAAGGCAGCCCCACCCCCAUGCCUGAGGACGUUGAGAAGGUAGAUUAUAUCUCCUCUUUCCUCAAACGCCACCCCAACCUGCACAAGGAAUUCUGGGAGUUUUUCCAGCAGCUUCACACUCAGUCGUCACCCAUGGCAACCAGCUCUGACACCACAGUUACUGACUGCAUUUCUCACAAUCCUCAGAACAUAAACAGGAAAAGAGACGAGGAUGAAACACCGGAUGACAGCGAGACAGGAAGUGACGAAGAGGAAGGGGAGGAGUCAGAGGGAGCGGUUUGCAACAAAAUCCUCUCCAUGACAACGAGUGGAGAGAAAGAAGUGGUCUGGACCCGGGAGGCGGACCGAGCCAUCCUGACCGCCUGUAAGCAGAAGGGAGCCAAUCAGAAAACGUUCAGACAGGUCUCCACCCACCUGGGAAACAAGACCGCCCAGCAGGUGACAGGGCGAUUCAGACACCUGAUGAAUCUCUUCCAUGUCCAAAAAUCCACCUGCUGUUCCUCAGAGGGCCAGCCAAUCAGCACACAAGAGGGAGCCCUGGACUGAAGGUGUGGCCAAUCACAGACAAGCCUGCAGCUUCCUCAGAGGACAUCCUGCAGGGGGAAUAUUCUGUAACAUUCUCAGAGCUCUCAGGUGGACAUGAGGUUCUUUGAGGUUUCAAUGAUUCUAGAACAUUCUGAUGAUGUUCUUUGUUGACUCAAGAACGUUCCACCUGUGAUGAUACAGAGUUCUUCAUGUUUGUUCUGCUGAUGUUCUAUUCCUGUCGUAGUGAAGGAACGUUUUGAAAAAGGAGGGAGGUGAUGUUCUGGACAGUACUGGUGAAGAAUGAAUGAUGUUCUGCUGAACCACUGAACUUCAUUCUUUUUGUUUUUGUUCUAAAGACUGAAGAACUCAUGUUAUCCUGACAGGAACACACCUCAGUCCUCUAUAUUUAUAUCUAUUAUUUAUUUGUACCUCCUCUGGCCUCAGUUAGACUCCGCCCACUGACUCGGAGGUGGGGUCACCAUGAUGUCAUGAAGGACAGAAGAAAAACAACAAAUGAAGCUGUGCUUUUGUUUUCUCUUUCAUAUUUCUUUCUAUUCCAGUUCUCCAUCCUAUCACAGAACCAGGAGGAACAUUAACAUGAUACUCUUUGUGCAGCUCUCAGACUGUGAAGGCCCAGUCUGCUGAUCAGUCUGUGGUUCUCUGUGGCCUUAUGUGUGUUGGUGUGAAAGUUGUGAAAAACGUGCAGACGUUCUGUGUGAUAGUGAAGAACGUGCAGACUGUGAUAGUGAAGAACGUGCAGACGUUCUGUGUGAUAGUGAAGAACGUGCAGACGCUCUGUGUGAUAGUGUAGAACGUGCAGACGCUGUGUGAUAGUGUAGAACGUGCAGACGUGUGAUAGUGAAGAAUGUGCAGACGCUCUGUGUGAUAGUGAAGAACGUGCAGACGCUCUGUGUGAUAGUGAAGAACGUGCAGAUGUUCUGUGUGAUAGUGAAGAACGUGCAGACGCUCUGUGUGAUAGUGAAGAAUGUGCAGACGUUCUGUGUGAUAGUGAAGAACGUGCAGACGCUCUGUGAUAGUGAAGAACGUUCAGACUGUGAUAGUGAAGAACGUUCAGACUGUGAUAGUGAAGAACGUGCAGACGUUCUGUGUGAUAGUGAAGAACGUGCAGACGCUCUGUGAUAGUGAAGAACAUGCAGACGCUCUGUGAUAGUGAAGAACAUGCAAAUGCUCUGUGAUAGUCUCUUAGAGUGUUUGUUCAUAUUGAUGAUGGCUAAAGGUCAAGUGCUUCAAUAAAACAUUUAUUAUAUUUUUAAAA